CAAUCCGCUCACACACACAUCAUCAUCUCCGAAAGACACACAAUUCAAGACUGCUGGAAAGCCAAAAGUCUGGAUAUUGAAUAAACAUUACGUCCUCUAACCAAGCAGCAGCAGAUGGGGGAGUGGCAGAUUUCCAGACCAUCAAGAUUCUCCUACGGGCCAAAAGCAAUCUCACGAAGAGUAAGGGUCCCAGAACAGAUUCUUGAGGCACUUCACUGGUGACCGACCACCAUGCAGAACCCGUCUAC